rnacentral:misc_RNA from 1 species
GUGAAUCAUCGAAUCUUUGAACGCAAAUUGCACUCUCUUCUGUUAGUAUGCCUGUUUGAGGUUCAGUAUUAAUAAAAAUCGGCGUGUUGCUGUUUUGUGACGUUCUGGAGUUUUGGUCAUCUUAUAACAACACCCUUUCAGGGUAUUUUUAAGAUGCUUAAAAUUGAUCUUUUUUGUGCACUUUUGACGUUCAUAAAUUUUUUUUUAUUCGUCUAUCUUAUUGCCAAAUCUCUAUUAGAUUCUACCAUAUCGUGUGGU